GACAAAUUUGCUCUGCGUAAAAUGUGAUGGCGUAUCGUUGUUUUCAUAGAGGAGUUUUCUUCUGAUUUUGCAAGUGCUUGAAUGAGGGAUUCAUUGCAGAGCGAUGAAUGUGUAGCAUCCCACUGAGAUUUUUGAGGACCGAAUGGGUGCGAUGCAUUUUAUUACAGACUUGUGUCCUUGGCAGCUAGAUGCACCCUGUGCUUGUUUGUAAAUAUUGGCUUUGAGGUUUUCAAGAAUUCUCAUAAAUGCUAAUAUUUCAUUACUUAACUAUUACUUCAGCAACCGAGUGUGCGCAAACAAAGUCAGGACACUUGCUCACUAUUAAACUGUUUAGUUUUUUUUUUUAAUCUUGCUGUGCACUUAAAUAUUCAGGGAUUUCUGUGUGCUUCUGUCAUAAUGUGUGUUGGCCCAGUGUUUUACUAGGAUCUGAGCUAUUCACAUAUUAAUUGAAUGGAACCUCCCAUAUAGGGGUUCUUACAUCUGAGCAGCCUCUGCUACUGAGGGAGAAGUGUGCGUAUUCACAGGUCUGUGAAUUUGACUCUACGUAUCCUCUGUUGUGACAGUAAUGAUUUGUCUAGUGCCUGAGAAGCGAGGGAGGAAUAAAUUGCUACUGAUUCAUCUGUUGUAGAGUCCACUUGAAUAAAUGUUUACACAUAAAUCCUCCUGUAUGAAGUACUGGAAGUCAGAUUCCAAAUCCAGAAGUGAAUUGCAUUUCUACUGGUGUGAAAGCAAGAUCAGUCAGUGGAAAAACCUUUUCCUAGCCGGUGUCUGAGCAAAGUGAUGCUGGAUCUGAACUCAAGUAAUAAAAGCACGUAUUUGAGCGAACAUAAAUGGUGUGACAUGAUUAUGUAGAAGACAAAAAGCUUGUCUGGCGUGUGCUGAGAACCAUAUUCCUCAUUCCAUAUUUCAGUGACUAAUUUUGAUGCAUGUCUCCAUUUCCAAUUGUGAUUGAAUAUAGUAACCACUUAAAUAGUAUUCUCACUGUCAAAGGGAGCUUGAAAAUGAAGAGUCAAAAAGGCCUGCAGAUGGACUCAGCUCGACUUUCAUGUUGCAGUUGGGACCAUAAUAGUAGAGUCACUGCUCACAGGUAUUUAAAUACAAUCCUCCAAGGGGAAUCUAAAUUGUGUCUCUGUAACAUCUGUGAACCAUUUAUUUUCCUGAAAUCUCUUCCUCUUACAGCCUGCAUUUUUAGUAUACUUACUCUUAAGACUCCAGCAGAAAUUGAAAGUUUAUUUUAAAGAAUAUAUUUAAAACAUGCCAUAUGUAGUGGGCUCUUAAAAGAUAGUUCAAGAGCUAUGGAGAUCAAGUGAAGGGAGACCUCCUGUGGCUUUGCUCUUCUAAUCACUUAUAUUUAUUUUCAAAAGCAUAAAGCUGUUCUUUGAAAAAUGACAAAUGCGAGAAUUAGCAAAUUGUUCUGAAAGAAGACUCUUCUUAGGAACUUGGCACUUCUUAAUUCUACCUUGCUUACAAGUCUAGUGGUAUAUUCAUCAGCUAAGGUUUAUUGUGAAAUAUACUGAAUGUAUUUACUACUGUGGCUAGCAGCGUGAAAUUUACUGUUUGCAGUAAAAUGGGUUAUGGCAUUUAUAUUUUUGGGACCUGCUGAAGCAUGCUUGCUGGUUAUUAGUUGCUCCUUUUCUGACUUGACCUGUUCCUUUGUUGUUUGCCCUCUAAGCAGUUUGAGUUGAGUGACAGAUAAUGAGGUAUAGUUUUGCACUGAUGCAGAUUGGAGCUAUUGCACACUUCACUGUUAAAACUUACUCUAAUAAAAGAAGGUGUGGUAACUG
ensembl:lncRNA